CUCAUCUUUUGUGAUGUGUCCUUCCUCUACCAGUUCCUGUGUGCUCAGCCAGCUGGACUCGUCUGAUGAAAGCUGUCUAUGUGCUGCAGUUCUGCCUGUUUCCCCAAGGAUUCUCCAUCCGUGGCUGAGCUGGCUGGAAAGUUAAAGGGUCAUAUUUUACCAACGCCCAACUCAAAUGAUGAGUUGCCUUUUCGAGGAAGACCUCCUUGUUCUCUAAAGUUGCAAAAUUCGACCCAAGAUAAGGAAGUGUCAGAUAAAUCUGUCUCUUCCGCCACCUUUAAAACAAAGAACUCGGCCAUCAUUGGAAAACUGCAGGCCAACCUCGCUCUGUCUCCCACGGGUCUGCUGCCUUCACCCAAGGGUCCAGACGUGAAGCUGCAACCAGCACAGUUGUCCCCCUCCCCGCCCUGCACCCCUCUGAGCCCCACCCUGCGACCCCCACACCUGUCCAGCGAAGACGAGGACCCCGUUGGCUUCGACAGCCCUCCUGAAGGCACCCCACUGCCGAGCUUUAACAAGACCCGGGCACGGUUAUCAUUCAAGAGGCGUCCGCCCACGAGACAGCACAGAAGGUCAGCAGGAGAGGAGGCGGGAGGCGCUGCGAGUGAGCUGUCCCCGUGUGAGCUGGACGUCCGGAGAGAAAACGGGGACAAGGACCAGGUGUUCGCCGAUCUGACGGAGGAAGCUGAAUCCGGGCAGCUGGGCAGCGUAAAAGAAGCUGGAAACGGAGAGGAAGACUGGGAAAAGAUUGAGGCGGAGGUGGCACGGAGCGACGCAGAUGGCAGAAGGGAUCUGCAGCAGGAAGGGGAACAAGACACGCCUGCAGAGGCUUUGCGGGAGGGGCAGGAGCCUUUACAGCCUGACGAGCAGAUGGAGGUCAUCGUUAAGACAGAAAAGGGGCAGGACGAGAUGCCUCAGGUGGCGAAGGCAGGAGAAAAUGACACUAUGUGAACUGUAAAAGUGAUUUAUUUCUUGGAAGAGUACAGAUAAGUUUAUCAGUGCUUAUAAUCAAGAGAAGUAGUCUAUAUAAAAAUAUCUUGGUCCUGCUCUCUUAAAUUACUUGAGAAGCAGCUGUUUGGAAAACAGCUUUGGAAACAUGUGGGGUUGGGUGGAGGGGGGGGGGGGGGAUCAUGGUCAUGGCAUCAUGGGGAGCUUUUAUUACAUUUGCAAACCACCUUGUUUGCAGGACAUUUUUUAAAAAGGUCCAAGACUGUAACAUGAGUUCAGCUUCACCUCUGGGGUCUGUCAUUUAUGCUACGCACUGAAUAGUAUAAAAUUAAAGGCAUGAUAAAGGCAAAAAUAGAGAUUACAUGGAAUUUUUUUAUAUAUAUGAUGUUAAACUAAAUCACUUUAAAUUGCUUUCUUAUUUUUGUUUAAAAGUACUGUAUAUGUUGGGUUGUCUCUCUUUGUAUCUUUUGCUUGUGUGCAACAACGUGUACAGAUGCUCUGACCUUUAUAAAUAUUAAAGUAAAUUACGUCCAUUACGAACAAACAAAAGCUGGUCAGUUAUGAAUACUCCUGGUUAUGACGAAUAAAAGCCUUAAAAA